CUACGGGUUGCAGCAGUGGGGAAUAUUGCACAAUGGGCGCAAGCCUGAUGCAGCCAUGCCGCGUGUAUGAAGAAGGCCUUCGGGUUGUAAAGUACUUUCAGCGGGGAGGAAGGGAGUAAAGUUAAUACCUUUGCUCAUUGACGUUACCCGCAGAAGAAGCACCGGCUAACUCCGUGCCAGCAGCCGCGGUAAUACGGAGGGUGCAGGCGUUAAUCGGAAUUACUGGGCGUAAAGCGCACGCAGGCGGUUUGUUAAGUCAGAUGUGAAAUCCCCGGGCUCAACCUGGGAACUGCAUCGGAUACUGGCAAGCUUGAGUCUCGUAGAGGGGGGUAGAAGUCCAGGUGUAGCGGUGAAAUGCGUAGAGAUCUGGAGGAAUACCGGUGGCGAAGGCGGCCCCCUGGACGAAGACUGACGCUCAGGUGCGAAAGCGUGGGGAGCAAACAGGAUUAGAUACCCCAGUAGUC
rnacentral:rRNA from 1 species